UGUACGGAUAAGCUACUAAGGGCAUGCGGUGAAUGCCUUGGCGCGGAUAUGCGAUGAAGGGCGUGGCCAGCUGCGAUAAGCUUCGACUAGCCGCUAAGCAGGCUUAAUCGAAGAUUCCCGAAUGGGGAAACCCGCCUGUAGAAGUACAGGCAUCGCGCAAGCGAAGCGAACGGUGGGAAGUGAAACAUCUCAGUACCACCAGGAAAAGAAAUCAACAGAGAUUCCCCUAGUAGUGGCGAGCGAACGGGGAAGAGCCUAAACCAUUUCUUGCAAAAGAAAAGGGGUUGUGGGGCAGUUUAGACGCAAGUCACAGAGUAAGAAAAGAGAUCGAUAGCUGAAGGCUCCUGGAAAGGACCACCAUAGGGGGUGAUAGUCCCGUAAGUGAAAUCGAACUCUCUCUGAAGCUGUUCCCAAGUACUGCAGGGCACGAGAAACCCUGUGGGAAUCUGGGAGGACCAUCUUCCAAGGCUAAAUAAUCAUCCGCGACCGAUAGUGAACUAGUACCGUGAGGGAAAGGUGAAAAGCACCCCGGUGAGGGGAGUGAAAUAGUCCCUGAAACCGCAUGCCUACAAGCAGUAGGAGGACAUUUUCGAGGAGCAAUCCUUGAAAGUCUGACUGCGUGCCUUUUGCUUAAUGAGUCUGCGAGUUACCGUAUGCAGCUAAGGUUAAGCCGAUUGAGGUGGAGCCGUAGCGAAAGCGAGUCUGAAAUGGGCGAUUCUGUUGCAUAUGGUAGACCCGAAGCGGGAUGAUCUACCCAUGGCCAGGGUGAAGGUGCGGUAACACGCACUGGAGGCCCGAACUGGUGAAGGUUGAAAACUUCUCGGAUGAGCUGUGGGUAGGAGUGAAAGGCUAAUCAAAUUCCGUGAUAGCUGGUUCUCCCCGAAAUAUAUUUAGGUAUAGCCUCAGAUGGUUCCCGGCGGAGGUAGAGCACUGGAGAGACUAGGGCUCCGUGAGGAGUACCAAAUCUCACCAAACUCCGAAUGCCGCCGAGUGAUAAUCUGGGAGUCAGACUGUGGGUGAUAAGGUCCAUGGUCAAAAGGGAAACAGCCCAGACCGCCAGCUAAGGCCCCAAAGUUUCUGCUCAGUGGGAAAGGAUGUGAAUUGGCACAGACAGCCAGGAGGUUGGCUUAGAAGCAGCCAUCCUUUAAAGAAAGCGUAACAGCUCACUGGUCGAGUUGAUCUGCGCCGAAAAUGUAACGGGGCUAAGCAGAACGCCGAAGCUGCGGGAUUGGUCUAUGACCGAUCGGUAGGGGAGCAUUCUCAUCGCCUGUGAAGGACAACCGUAAGGAUGUCUGGAGGUUUGAGAAGAGCUUAUGCAGACACGAGUAGCGAUAAACGAGGCGAGAAACCUCGUCGCCGUAAGUCUUAGGGUUCCUGGGUAAAGGUAAUCUGCUCAGGGUUAGUCGGUGCCUAAGCUGUAGCCGAAAGGCGUAAGUGAUGGAAAGCCGGUUAAUAUUCCGGCACCACUGGAAAAACGUUAUCAGCGAAGGGGGGACAGAGAAGGGUAGGUCAGCUGGGUUAGGGCCGCAAGGCACCCCAGUUUAAGCCCGUAGGCGGAGGAGAUAGGCAAAUCCGUUUCCUCACCAACGUCGAAAGGUGAUGACGAUUCUUAUCUUCGGGUAAGAAGAAGUGAUUGAUCCCAUGCUCUCAAGAAAAGCCUCGUAGCGAGUUUUUCCAGUGACCGUACCGCAAACCGACUCAGGUAGACAGGUAGAGAAUACCAAGGCGCUUAAGAGAACCGUGGUUAAGGAACUCAACAAAUUGGCACCGUAACUUCGGAAGAAGGUGUGCCCCCACUACGUGAAUAGCGGAAGGGGGUCGCAGUGACCAGGGGGAGGCGACUGUUUAACAAAAACACAGGUCUCUGCAAACGCGUAAGCGGAUGUAUAGGGACUGACGCCUGCCCGGUGCCGGAAGGUUAAGGGGACCUGUUAGUCGCAAGGCAAAGCAGGGAACCGAAGCCCCGGUAAACGGCGGCCGUAACUAUAACGGUCCUAAGGUAGCGAAAUUCCUUGUCGGGUAAGUUCCGACCUGCACGAAUGGCGUAACGAUCUCCCCAUUGUCUCAACCACGGACUUAGCGAAACUGCACUCUCGGUGAAGAUACCGAGUACC
rnacentral:rRNA from 1 species